GCAGAAGUGGCGUCGGGCGGCACACAGCCAGCAGAGGUGCCAGCUGGGGCACAUGAACCAAAUGCUAUAAACAUUCCCGUUCGCGGUAUUCAACGCACCCAAGAACAGAGCUUUCGAUAUACAGAAAACCAAUUGCGCCAUAUUAGACGGCAAUUUUUGCAAGAAGCUGAAUUGAAGGUGCGUUUCUGGUACUAGAGGAUGGAUGGAUGGCGAGGGGUGGAUGGGAUCGACACUGACGGCGCCAAAUAAAACUGGAAAUCGGAAGAGACGUUUGAUUGUUGGCUGAUUUUCCUUUCCUGACGCAUGUUGCUGCCACGCCCGUCCCGCAGUGUUGUUAUUGCCACAAAAAGCUGCAACUAACGAAAGAGCAGAGAGAGAAAGAGAUCUGCAAUCAGUAUUUUAUCCAUUUUGCUUGCAUUUUCAUAGCCUCGAUUGUUAAUUAAUUUGCUUCCCACUCUGCUCUCUCUCUCUCUCUCUCAUCCUCGUGCUCUUCCUUUGACUUUGUUCUUGUGGUUCUGUUUCCUUAAUUGUUUUCGUGUUCCAUAUUUGUUUAUUUUCCUUGCCGCUGGAAAACAUUUCCCAAUUGUUUGCUCACAGCCACAGAUUAAAUCUUUAAAAAUG